rnacentral:rRNA from 1 species
CAAAAGCGUAUAUUAAAGUUGUUGCAGUUAAAAAGCUCGUAGUUGAACCUUGGGCUUGGCUGGCCGGUCCAUCUUUUUUGAUGCGUACUGGACCCAGCCGAGCCUUUCCUUCUGGCUAGCCUUUUGGCGAACCAGGACUUUUACUUUGAAAAAAUUAGAGUGUUCAAAGCAGGCCUUUGCUCGAAUAUAUUAGCAUGGAAUAAUAGAAUAGGACGUUAUGGUUCUAUUUUGUUGGUUUCUAGGACCAUCGUAAUGAUUAAUAGGGACGGUCGGGGGUAUCAGUAUUCAGUUGUCAGAGGUGAAAUUCUUGGAUUUACUGAAGACUAACUACCGCGAAAGCAUUUACCAAGGACGUUUUCAUUAA